rnacentral:miRNA from 1 species
ACUCAUUCUCCUCUGUCCAG